rnacentral:lncRNA from 1 species
CUCUUUCCUCAGUUGUCAGUUAGGAUCAAUUGCCUCUAUUGCCUCUCCCUCCAUCGCUUUUCCUCCACUGCCUCUCCUCUAUUGCCUUUCCUCUGUCGCGCCUAUCCUUUCCUUAUAUCGCCUCCCCUCAGCCACUUCCCAUCUCUUUCCUCCCUCGGUCCAAUUCAUCAACAAACCCUAGUUCUAAUAGUCGUUCAAUCCCUUCUUUUUCUCUCUAAAUAUCACAAAUAAAAUCAAUUACUCUGUGUUUCUAGAUCAUUUUUGGUCCCCCCCCCCUAAAAGCUUUGUGCAAAGCAAUUGAAAAGAUUGGGAAAUUAUGCAAUUUUGAAAAAACGGGACACUAAGAGAAGGUUUGUUUCUUCUUUGCUAUGACGGUUUCUAAUUUCUUCUAAUUUCUUCGCAUAUGUGUUGGUUUAUUGGUUGAUUUUCUUCAAAAAUUUGAACCUAAUUUAUGUGUAUUUAAUUUUCACAGGCUCUGAGAUUUUUAAGUAAACUUGUUGAGUGAGUCUAAUUAUGUUUUUUUGGUAAUUAUGUUUUUUUGGUGGGUUAUUUUUGUUGUUGCAAAGAUUAGUGACUUCUCUUGCCCUAUGAUUGUUUUGUUUGCUGUGGCUUUCUCUUGCGCUUGCCUUGAAGCGUUCUUAUAUACAAGUGGCUUACUUGUGCAAACUAUUUUAGUACAGUUCAGAAAAUAAAUCUGAAUAUUUAAAUGGUGAGUUUUUGUUGGGCAUACCCAUGAAAAACUUUGAACUUGAGUAUCAAUGAAUAGAUUUGCUGAUGGUUGUCUUAUUCCAGGAUUUCUCUAUUUAGUUAUUUAGAAUUUAUUCUCAAGGAAACAUAUCUUUUGGUUGUUCUCUUCCUCUUUAUUAAUUUUUUUAGAUAAAAGUUAUCUUCCUCUUUAAGCUUAGUAGUUAAUAGCUAGGCAGCAAUCUUUUAGUGAAUCUAAUCAUAUCCCAGGCAGUUUUGUUUUGACAGGACUGAUAGAGGCAACAACAACUUUACCAUAUAUGGGGCUUCAAUUGGGAGAAUUAAGCUUGGAUGAGAAGGCAAAAAUAUUGUUUGUGGACCAGAGGUAAGGACCCUUGUUCAAAAUUUUGUAUUUUGUUUUUUUUGUUGUUUCUGUACACUGUAACCACUUUUCUAACUGAGGGUUGUUUGCGAUCAUUGCACCCAGCCUUUAUGUUACUUUAUUGUCAACUUACCAGUUACCACAGAGUUGGUAUUUAAAUUUAUUUACAUUAGUUUUUGGGAGUAAGAAAGGGCUACAUGUUUAAAUUUUUCUUAGAUCGACAGUAUCACCCAGGAAUGGUUGUAUAGUUGAAAAUAAUUAAAAAAGAUCACAUUACUCUCCUGAAUGCUUUAAUAAUGGAUGUAAUAUAUGAAACCCUCUUCCAGUUCCAUAUGCGAUAUCUCAUAAUCAGAUUGACUGUUACAAAAAAAAAUAUUUACAUUUGCUUGGAAGUUAAUCAUAUUCAACAGCUUUAUCCGUAUUAUUGCUCGGACCUUAGUCAUAUUCAACAGUUUUAUCCAUGCCAUGCUGCAGUCCUUUUAUUCUUUUUAGCUUUUAUGCACCUUAGCAAAGAGUGACAUUGAUUCAUUAUUUUUCUUAUUUGCAAACCAGAAAAUGUUGGAAGUAUGCCUAAUAGUUUAUUAUGUCAUCAUUUUUAGUUUUCUUUUAAAAAAAUUAUACUGCACUUAUAUUCCUUUUCUGUUUCGCUGAUCUUUUAACUGAAAAAGUAUGUCUAACUUUGUUUCUUAUUGUUUCUUGCAAUAUUACAACAGCAGCUGUACUUGCAGUUAUGUACAGUCUUACUAACUACCAACCACUUCUUGAUGACUUUUUCCGCUAUGGUGUGUUGUAUAAAUAUAUAUAAGACUACAUCAGGAUGCUGAAGAAAAUUCGUAAUUUCGUGUUUUGAGAUGCUUAGCGAAAAGCCGUUGUUGCUUAUGUUAUAAAAGUCCUAAUAUUGUUAGAGAAGUAGGAUGCAUUAUAUUCUUCUAUUCUAAUUUACAUUUGAAUAAUGUUUCAGAUUGGAGAGAACCUUGAAAAUCUUCAGAAAGGAUGGCUCUUGUGGGCAGGAAUUGGUCUUUUAGGAGCCCUUGCAUCUAUUGCAUUAACAGGAGCCGUUGUGUCCUUGUUUAAGGGUGAGAACCCGCAAAGAGAG